GACGAACGCUGGCGGCGUGCUUAACACAUGCAAGUCGAACGGUGAAGCGCCUUCCUUUUUGGUGGGUGUGGAUGAGUGGCGAACGGGUGAGUAACACGUGAGUAACCUGCCCCCUUCUUCUGGAUAACCGCAUGAAAGUGUGGCUAAUACGGGAUAUUCUGGGUCUGUCGCAUGAUGGGUCUGGGAAAGAUAUUGUUUCGGUGGGGGAUGGGCUCGCGGCCUAUCAGCUUGUUGGUGGGGUGAUGGCCUACCAAGGCGGUGACGGGUAGCCGGCCUGAGAGGGUGGACGGUCACACUGGGACUGAGACACGGCCCAGACUCCUACGGGAGGCAGCAGUGGAGAAUAUUGCACAAUGGGCGCAAGGCUGAUGCAGCGCCGCUGCGUGAGGGGUGGAGGCCUUCGGGUUGUGAACCUCUUUCGCCAGUGAAGCAGGCCUGCCUCGUUUGUGGGUGGGUUGACGGUAGCUGGAGAAGAAGCGCCGGCUAACUACGUG
rnacentral:rRNA from 1 species